GCUCCCAUGGCGUAGUGGUCACUGCACUCGCCUUGCACGCGGGAGACCCGGGUUCGAUUCCCGCGGGGUCA
rfam:Asian citrus Psyllid, Diaphorina citri - Florida Strain, whole genome shotgun sequence.